rnacentral:rRNA from 1 species
CCCUGUGAACCUGCGGAAGGAUCAUUA